rnacentral:rRNA from 1 species
GAUGAACGCUGGCGGCGUGCCUAAUACAUGCAAGUCGAACGAGGUGCUUUUGUAGCAAUACGAGAGUAUCCUAGUGGCGAACGGGUGAGUAACGCGUUGGUGACCUACCCCAAAGUGUGGGAUAACAGUCCGAAAGGAUUGCUAAUACCGCAUGUGGUCUUCGGAUUUAGAAACUGAUGACUAAAGGAGCAAUUCGCUUUGGGAGGGACCUGCGUCCCAUCAGCGAGUUGGGGAGGUAAUGGCUCACCAAGGCGACGACGGGUAGGGGACCUGAGAGGGUGCCCCCCCAGAAUGGAACUGAAACACGUUCCAUACACCUACGGGUGGCAGCAGUAGGGAAUAUUGCUCAAUGGGCGAAAGCCUGAAGCAGCAACGCCGCGUGUGCGAUGGAGGCCUUCGGGUCGUAAAGCACUUUUCUGGGAGAUGAGAAAGGACAGUAUCCCAGGAAUAAGUCUCGGCUAACUACGUGCCAGCAGCCGCCGCCGUAA